AGCAAUGUAGCGCAGAGGCAGCGCGUGGGGCUCAUAACCCUAAGGUCCCAGGAUCGAAACCUGGCAUUGCUA